UACGUAGGGUGCGAGCGUUGUCCGGAAUUAUUGGGCGUAAAGGGCUCGUAGGCGGUUUGUCGCGUCGGGAGUGAAAUCCACUGGCUUAACUGGUGGCUUGCUUUCGAUACGGGCAGACUGGAGGUAUGCAGGGGAGAACGGAAUUCCUGGUGUAGCGGUGAAAUGCGCAGAUAUCAGGAGGAACACCGAUGGCGAAGGCAGCUCGCUGGGCCGAUACUGACGCUGAGGAGCGAAAGCGUGGGGAGUGAACAGG
rnacentral:rRNA from 1 species